AUUGAACGCUGGCGGAAUGCUUUACACAUGCAAGUCGAACGGCAGCACGGACUUCGGUCUGGUGGCGAGUGGCGAACGGGUGAGUAAUGUACCGGAACGUGCCCAGUCGUGGGGGAUAACGUAGUGAAAAUUACGCUAAUACCGCAUACGAUCUAUGGAUGAAAGCGGGGGAUCGCAAGACCUCGCGCGAUUGGAGCGGCCGAUAUCAGAUUAGGUAGUUGGUGGGGUAAAGGCCCACCAAGCCAACGAUCUGUAGCUGGUCUGAGAGGACGACCAGCCACACUGGAACUGAGACACGGUCCAGACACCUACGGGAGGCAGCAAUGGGGAAUUUUGGACAAUGGGCGAAAGCCUGAUCCAGCCAUUCCGCGUGCAGGAUGAAGGCCCUCGGGUUGUAAACUGCUUUUGUACAGAACGAAAAGGUUUCUACUAAUACUAGGAGCUCAUGACGGUACUGUAAGAAUAAGCACCGGCUAACUACGUGCCAGCCGCCGCAGUAA
rnacentral:rRNA from 1 species